rnacentral:tRNA from 1 species
GAGAGUAUAGCUCAGUGGUAGAGCAUGUGCUUAGCACGCACAAGGUCCUGGUUUCACUCCCCAGUAUCUCCA